GACGAACGCUGGCGGCGUGCUUAACACAUGCAAGUCGAACGGAAAGGCCCUGCUUUUGUGGGGUGCUCGAGUGGCGAACGGGUGAGUAACACGUGAGUAACCUGCCCUUGACUUUGGGAUAACUUCAGGAAACUGGGGCUAAUACCGGAUAGGAGCUCCUGCUGCAUGGUGGGGGUUGGAAAGUUUCGGCGGUUGGGGAUGGACUCGCGGCUUAUCAGCUUGUUGGUGGGGUAGUGGCUUACCAAGGCUUUGACGGGUAGCCGGCCUGAGAGGGUUACCGGCCACAUGGGGACUGAGAUACGGCCCAGACUCCUACGGGAGGCAGCAGGGGGGAAUAUUGCACAAUGGGCGGAAGCCUGAUGCAGCAACGCCGCGUGCGGGAUGACGGCCUUCGGGUUGUAAACCGCUUUCGCCUGUGACGAAGCGUGAGUGACGGUAAUGGGUAAAGAAGCACCGGCUAGCUACGUG
rnacentral:rRNA from 1 species